GUCCCUGUAGCGCAAUGGAUAGCUCGUUGGACUGCAAAUCCAAAGGUCGUGGGUUCGAAUCCCCACCUGGGAUG